rnacentral:rRNA from 1 species
AUUGAACGCUGGCGGCAGGCCUAACACAUGCCAGUCGAACGGUAACAGGAAGCAGCUUGCUGCUUUGCUGACGAGUGGCGGACGGGUGAGUAAUGUCUGUGAAACUGCCCGAUGGAGGGGGAUAACUACUGGAAACGGUAGCUAAUACCGCAUAACGUCGCAAGACCAAAGAGGGGGACCUUAGGGCCUCUUUCCAUCGGAUGUGCCCAGAUGGGAUUAGCUAGUAGGUGGGGUAACGGCUCACCUAGGCGACGAUCCCUAGCUGGUCUGAGAGGAUGACCAGCCACACUGGAACUGAGACACGGUCCAGACUCCUACGGGAGGCAGCAGUGGGGAAUAUUGCACAAUGGGCGAAAGCCUGAUGCAGCCAUGCCGCGUGUAUGAAGAAGGCCUUCGGGUUGUAAAGUACUUUCAGCGGGGAGGAAGGGAGUAAAGUUAAUACCUUUGCUCAUUGACGUUACCCGCAGAAGAAGCACCGGCUAACUACGUG